ensembl:lncRNA
AAGGGUUGUUAAGAGUGAAAGGGUUGUUAAGAGUGGUGAAAGGGUUGUUACGAGUGGUGAAAGGGUUGUUAAGAGUGAAAGGGGUGUUACGAGUGAAAGGGUUAUUACGAGUGGUGAAAGGGUUGUUAAGAGUGAAAGGGUUGUUAAGAGUGAAAGGGUUAUUACGAGUGGUGAAGGGGUUGUUUCGAGUGGUGAAAGGGUUGUUACAAGUGGUGAAAGGGUUGUUAAGAGUGAAAGGGUUGUUAAGAGUGAAAGGGUUGUUAAGAGUGGUGAAAGGGUUGUUAAGAGUGAAAGGGAUGUUAAGAGUGGUGAAAGGGUUGUUACGAGUGGUGAAAGGGUUGUUAAGAGUGAAAGGGUUGUUACGAGUGGUGAAAGGGUUGUUACGAGUGAAAGCGUUGUUAAGAG